GACAGAGGGGGCAAGCGUUGCUCGGAAUCACUGGGCGUAAAGGGCGCGUAGGCGGACAGCUUAGUCAGAGGUGAAAGCCCAGGGCUCAACCUUGGAAUCGCCUUUGAUACUGGCUGUCUUGAGUUCGGGAGAGGUGAGUGGAAUGCCGAGUGUAGAGGUGAAAUUCGUAGAUAUUCGGCGGAACACCAGUGGCGAAGGCGACUCACUGGCCCGAUACUGACGCUGAGGCGCGAAAGCGUGGGGAGCAAACAGG
rnacentral:rRNA from 1 species